GAAACCGCGAAUGGCUCAUUACAUCAGUUAUGGUUCCUUAGAUCGCACUUACUACUUGGAUAACUGUGGUAAUUCUAGAGCUAAUACAUGCGCUGGGCCCCAACCCUCGUGGAAGGGGCGCUUUUAUUAGAUCAAAGCCAAUCGGGCCUUCGGGCUCGUUUAAUUGGUGACUCUGAAUAACUUUGCUGAUCGCAUGGUCUCGUACCGGCGACGUAUCUUUCAAGUGUCUGCCUUAUCAACUGUCGAUGGUAGGUUAUGCGCCUACCAUGGUUGUAACGGGUAACGGGGAAUCAGGGUUCGAUUCCGGAGAGGGAGCCUGAGAAACGGCUACCACAUCCAAGGAAGGCAGCAGGCGCGCAAAUUACCCACUCCCGGCACGGGGAGGUAGUGACGAAAAAUAACGAUGCUAAACUCAUACGAGGCUUAGCAAUCGGAAUGAGUACACUUUAAAUCCUUUAACGAGGAUCUAUUGGAGGGCAAGUCUGGUGCCAGCAGCCGCGGUAAUUCCAGCUCCAAUAGCGUAUGUUCAAGUUGCUGCGGUUAAAAAGCUCGUAGUUGGAUCUCGGUUUCGGGAGGGCGGUGCGCCCAGCGGCGUUUACUGUCCACCCGGACGAUUUUGUUGGUUCGUUCAUGGUGCUCUUCAUCGGGUGCCUUGAGUGGCCAGCACGUUUACUUUGAAAAAAUUGGAGUGCUCAAAGCAGGCGCUACAGCCUGAACAAUUGUGCAUGGAAUAAUGGAAUAGGACCUCGGUUCUAUUUCGUUGGCUUUCGGARUCSAGGUAAUGAUUAAUAGGGACAGACSGGGGCAUUCGUACUGCGACGUUAGAGGUGAAAUUCUUGGAUCGUCGCAAGACGAACUACUGCGAAAGCAUUUGCCAAGAAUGUUUUCAUUAAUCAAGAACGAAAGUUAGAGGUUCGAAGGCGAUCAGAUACCGCCCUAGUUCUAACCAUAAACGAUGUCGACUGGCGAUCCGUCCCCSUUAACUGAAUGACUGGACGGGCAGCCUCCGGGAAACCAAAGUCUUUGGAUUCUGGGGGAAGUAUGGUUGCAAAGCUGAAACUUAAAGGAAUUGACGGAAGGGCACCACCAGGAGUGGAGCCUGCGGCUUAAUU
rnacentral:rRNA from 1 species